UAUGGCAAACCCCAGGUGAGGGGUUGAAUUGGAGCUGCAGCUGCAGGCCUAUGCCACCGUCAUGGCAACAAGAGAUCUGAGCCUUGUCUAUACUGCUUGUGGCAAUGCCAGACCUUAACCCACUGAGCAAGGCCAGGGGUCAAACCUGCAUCCUCAGAGAAUACCUGCUGAGCCACAAUGGGAACUCCACCUUUGGGUUAUCUCUUGAGAAGCUACCUGAAGCCGCUGUAGCCUUUUUGUAAGGCUGGAAAGAAUAACAGACAUGCUGAGGAUGGCACACAAGAGAGACUUUUGAACCAACCCUGUACCACCCUACAUCUAUAAAAGAAUUCUCGAUUGGUAACAUAAUAAAUCUCCUUAUUGUAUAAGCCACUUUUAGUUGGGUCUUCUGUUUCUUGCAGCUGAAACCGAUACACUCACUUCUUUAUUUCCAAUCUCCUUAUAUAUAAACAUGAUCUUCUUAUCGAGCCUACCUAGUCUGCAAUCUUAGAUAAGAGUGAAAAAGCACAUCGGCACUGUUUCCUUUGAAAAAGAAAUUGGUCACAGGUGUAAGCAUUACCUCAACCACAUAAUAAUAAUGACAGCAGCUUACAAAUAUUGAGCACUUUCGAUGAAUAAAAAAGACAUUGUGCUACGAACUUAUCUUCACAACAAACCUCUAAAUCAGGGAAUAACAUUAUCGCUAUUUUUAAAAUGCAGAAAAUGUGGCAGAGAGAUAAUAAGUAACCCACAGCUAAGAAGUGAAUAAAUUGAAGGGCUGACGGGAAUCAGCUAGUUGUUAUGAUGCUAUCUCAAUGCAUGUGUGUAUUUAAGAUUUGGGGUAUAUAUGGACUUACGGCAGCAUGUAGGAAUAAAAUGAACAGACUUGCAUAUCACCUUGGUGUUGUCUAAACAUCACUUAUAGCUCUGUACACAGACUGCACUAAAGUUUUGCAGGCAUAGGAGUGGAGGUAUAUAGCAUUAUAGGAAUUACAUAUAGUAUGCAUAUGUAAUUCAAAGAGGAAUAUUUAAGUGAUAUCUAGCAAUACUGAUAUUUCUCCACAUUAAGAAAAAUUUACAUGUCCACCAAUAGUUUCAAAAUAAUAGACACACCACUGAACCACAAUUAGAAAAACAUGCCAUAUUUUCCUGAACAUGCUCUAUAUCCCUUUUAAAUUAAAAAAAUAUUGCAGUGAAUUGGAAAGCAGACCAUUGAGUCCAAGUUUACCAUUUCAAAAAUUACUUAUUUCUUGACUUUGACACUCUGAUUCUCAAAGUAUAAAGUGUGACUUUCUUCUGAACAGACCAUAAUUCAAGAUCUACAGUGAAUAAAAUUCGGCCAUAAAAUUGUCAAAACUGAUUUUUCUUAAAUAAUUUAAUCAGUUACUAACUCAAUAGACAUAAUGCUUCAGACUAACUAAAGUUUUACAUAUUAUUUUAUUAUAUAAUCAUUCAAUAUAUAAGAAAUGAUAUAUAUCAAUAAAAAUACUUGAUAUAUAAAAAUCAUGAAGCAUGAAAAUAAAAGUCAUGAACCCUCCAGCCAGCUCUGGAAGUAGAAUAUCACCCACAACAUUGAGGCUGUAUCUAUUGCUUUCUUCUAAAGCUCAAGCCCCUGCUGAUCCCAAAAGGUAACCAACAUCUUGAAUGCUCAAUUUAUUGUUCCUUUGCUUUUUCAAAUAGUUUAUGUCAUAAAUUUAUCUAUUUCUAGAUUUUGAAGUAUAUGACAUUAUGUGGUUUGCAUUUGCUUUUCUCACUCAAGACCAUGUUUCUUAGAUUCAUUAUGUUGCACGUAGCUAAAAAUCCAUUCAUCUUCCUGGCUACAUAAUAUUCCACUGAGGGCCUGUAGAACAACUUUUUAAAAUUUAGUCACUUAUCAAAGAAUGUUUUAGUUUUUUUACCAGUUUUUUGUUUUUGUUUUUGUCUUUUUUUUUGCCAUUUCUUGGGCCGCUCUCGUGGCAUAUGGAGGUUCCCAGGCUAGGGGUCCAAUCGGAGCUGUAGCCACCAGCCUACGCCAGAGCCACAGCAACGCGGGAUCCGAGCCGCGUCUGCAACCUACAUCACAGCUCACGGCAACGCCGGAUCGUUAACCCACUGAGCAAGGGCAGGGACCGAACCCGCAACCUCAUGGUUCCUAGUCGGAUUCGUUAACCACUGCGCCACGACGGGAACUCCUCCAAGUUUUUUUACCAGUUUUUAAAAUUGCUAUUAGUAAUGUGUUAAUGGUAUGCUCAAAUUAUCUCUAUUUAUAAAUAUCUUUCUUCUCAAUCUAUCUUUUCUUCUCAAAAAUUGAAAGAGGUUAACUGGAAGUCUGUCCCUAUGAUUGGGGAUUUGUCACUUUGUACUUGUUUCAGUAAUUUUUACUGUAUAUAUUUUAAAGGUGUUUAAUUAGGUACACAUUAUUUAAUUAUUUAAUGUUUCUGGUGAUUUUUCAUCAUUAUGUAUUUGACCACUUUAUUCCUAAUUAGCUACUUUAUUCAUUAAAGUCUUUAAUAAAAGUACAGUAAAUUUUUAAAAAUUAAUAUUUGCCUAUAUUUUUCAACUUUUUUAUGUCCUUAGGUUUCAAUGGUGGCCAUUUAGAACAGGGACUCCAAAAAUCUCUCUAGUUGAGGUUUAGUCCAUGUCUUAAAUGAGCUUCCCUAGAAAAUGGACCUUGAGGCAAAAGCUUAUGUGCUAUGACUUUCUUGGCGGUACAAUCCCAAAAAAGCAGGAGUGAAGGAAAAACUAAAGCUAAUAAGGAUUAUAUUUCUGUGCUGGUCAUAGCUUUGCAUCACAAUUGGUUAUUACCUGUUGCAGGGUACCUCAGAAGGGCUAUAUGUAACUACUGCAACUUGGAUGAGUCCACUGGAAGAAUGAAAUUCAAUUUAUUUGCAAGAUCCUUCCGUUUUCUAUCUGCCUCACACACUAUUAACCCCCCAAUUUCUGGACUGUGUUAGUUGUCCCCUCCAGAUAUAUGCAGGGGAAGCCAAAAGCCUCCAGGCAGCCAAUGUCUUUAUGUCAGUUGGUGCAAUGUGUGGAGCUUCUCAAUUCAUGGGGAGGGAGGUGGCAGUGUUCCGGGCUUCGUGAUCAUGGAAAGGGUGAGUUUUGCUAGAGCCUCUCUCCCUCUACCCCAUCCCUAGAGAGGGAAGUGGCUGAGGUCUGGAGAGGUAGGUGGUUUCAAGCAGAUCUCGAGUAAAACCGAGUCAGUAUUCUCCAUUCCUGGCAUCACCUGUAUCAGCGUUCAGUCAAUCUCAUCUGAAUACAAGUGCCCACAAUUUUUCUAUGAAAGCUGAGGUGUAAGUGCAAUCUGUUUAGCAGGUAGUGAAUUGUAAGAAACUGAAAAACUUAGUUUAGCAAAUUAUAGUUAUAGUCCACACUGCUGUAGCUGGUCCACUACUAUAAUCAAAGGAUUUAAGGAAUAAAGAGUGCAAAGAGUAACAGAAAUGCAGAGAGAAAGAAGAUAGCAUUCUGCUAGACUUAGACUAUUUAAAACUUUUGUAAGGAUUCAGAAAUUAUAUCAUCUGUAGUUUUUUCUUAUUUUUCAUCCCCCCUCCCACUAACCAGAUGUCAAACAUUUUUCACUUAUUAUGGAAUUUGAUCUUUUUAAUAUUUACCUCUUUAAAUGCUUUAAUAAUGAAAAAUACAUUUUAAACUCUUCCCAAAUGCAGUGAGAAUGGAUUUGUUGUGUAAUUUGUAAAACUGAUUCUACUUACAAGUGGUCCAUCCAUACAGCAAAAUGUCAAUUAGAUAAUGAAGUUUUUCACAAUUCUGCAUGAAUCUCUGAAGGUUCUGUGAAGUUUAGCCACUGUUAGAAAUGUAAAACAAAGCAGCAAGCUGAUUGUUCUAGACCCUAUAGAGUGUGUGUGUGUGUAUAUAUAUAUAUAUAUAAUAUAUAUAUACAUACAUAUAUUAAAUAUAUAUUUUAUACAACAAUUACUUAGAAAUGUUAACCAAAAGUUUUCUAGGUACAACAUGAUGGGAUAUAACUCAAUAUUGGAAGAGAGAAAAGAGGGAUAAAUACAUUUUUUUUUAAUUAGCGGAAUGGGGAGGGACACAGCAUUUUAUGAUGAGAAGAUACUCCACACAUCUGUGGAAAUCUUCAAACUUUGGAAGGAACAGAGAAAGAGGGAAAUAAGGGAUGGGGACAAAAGUAGUAAAACCAUUGGAGAAUUUUGUAAACAUCUCCUCUCCU
rnacentral:lncRNA from 1 species